rfam:Microcystis aeruginosa NIES-843 DNA, complete genome.
AUCAGGCUUCUACGUUGGUGACUGCCUUUCAAGUUUUUUGAUCUAUGCUUGAUUGUGAUAAGGGAGCAAGUAACCAAUCCGUGUGGUAGUAAACCGAGCUUGUACUCGGAAACAGAAACGCGGAAUAUAAGUUCCCACCUGGUUAACCCAGGUCAUAAACUUAGGUAAAACGGCGUAGCGGUCUUUUC